AGGUGUUUUGCUUCAACAUUGUUUGAACGACCGU
rfam:Aedes aegypti strain Liverpool cont1.4546, whole genome shotgun sequence.